rnacentral:rRNA from 1 species
GGCGUGCUUAACACAUGCAAGUCGAACGAGAAAGCUUUAGCUUGCUAGAGCGAGUAAAGUGGCGCACGGGUGAGUAACGCGUGGGUAAUCUGCCCUUGAAUUUGGGAUAACACUUCGAAAGGGGUGCUAAUACCGGAUAAUAUCUUUUGUAUUGCGGUACGAAAGAUCAAAGAUAGCCUCUUCAUGAAAGCUAUUGUUUGGGGAUGAGCCCGCGUACCAUUAGCUUGUUGGUGGGGUAAUGGCCUACCAAGGCGACGAUGGUUAGCUGGUCUGAGAGGAUGAUCAGCCACACUGGAACUGGAACACGGUCCAGACUCCUACGGGAGGCAGCAGUGAGGAAUUUUGCGCAAUGGGCGAAAGCCUGACGCAGCAACGCCGCGUGAGUGAUGAAGGAUUUCGGUUCGUAAAGCUCUGUCAAGUGGGAAGAAGUUAUCAUAAGUUAAUAGCUUAUGGUAUUGACGGUACCACUGAAGGAAGCACCGGCUAACUCCGUG